ensembl:lncRNA
CAGUUCCCAGUCGUGCGCUCGUGGCCCAGACCAGACCCGGGCUGGUGUGUGGAGCCAGCCACGCGGGCCCGUCUGUCCUGCGUGCCCUGAGUGGGCGCAGAUGAGAGAGGGCGCGGUUGCUCCGUCCGCUUUUCUCCCCUCUCGCCCCCACGCGGGGAGCCGUCCAGCGAGGCCUGGCUGGACUGAGCCCGUGCCGGACACGGUGCUCCGUUGCCGUCCUGGAGGGCCCAGAGGAUUGCUCGAGGUGUGCCCACCAGGCCCCUCCCCUGAGACAGGGGGCUGGGUGCCGUCAGGUUCUUUCUUGGCUGCCCCUGGAACCCGGAGGUGGCCCUUGCCUGGUUCCUGGAUCCUUUCACUUCCCCUUCCUCGUCGCCUUGCCGUGUGGAAGGCAAGGGCCGCUCUUAGCCCGCCAGCCCUGGCCAAGGAGGGGAACCCACUCGGAGGGUGGGGUGGCACCAAGGCCUUGCGCGGCCCAACGCACAAGGGGGGACGGCGCGCCCUGCUGCGGGCCCUCGCCCUGGCCCCGGUGCCACCACUUUCCCUUGGCCGGGAUUCUUUGUGGCCUAGGCAGGCAGGCGCCCGUGCUGUCUCCGCACUGACCUAGGCACCCACCCACAUGAGGCGUCGGGAGGUGUGGGGCCGGGAGAACAUUGCUCUGCCUGGUUUCCUAGGCGGAGGCAGGUGUGUUGUCGGCAGAGACCCUCACUCAGGCCAAGUGCGUGAUGUCUCUUCUUCUUCCGCAGACGCCGAGCCCGGCACCCGGGUACCUGUUCCGGACGUGCCGCUCCCAACCAUGACUCCCAGCACCGAGGAGGCUGACCACGACCACGACCACGACCCCGACCCCGACCACGACGCCGAGCCCGGCACCCGGGAACCUGUUCCGGACGUGCCGCUCCCAACCAUGACUCCCAGCACCGAGGAGGCUGACCACGACCACGACCACGACCACGACCACGACCACGACCACGACGCCGAGCCCGGCACCCGGGAACCUGUUCCGGACGUGCCGCUCCCAACCAUGACUCCCAGCACCGAGGAGGCUGACCACGACCACGACCACGACCACGACCACGACCACGACGCCGAGCCCGGCACCCGGGAACCUGUUCCGGACGUGCCGCUCCCAACCAUGACUCCCAGCACCGAGGAGGCUGACCACGACCACGACCACGACCACGACCACGACCACGGUAGGGGCCCGUGUGCCUUGUGUCCUCUGCCCCUGGGAGCCCGCUGGGUUGCCGGGGCUCCUUGAGCGAGAACGGGCUUUCCUAUUGCCUCCGGGACCGGGAAGGUGUCGCCAUGCGAUUCCUUGUCCCGAAACGCUGGCCUGUGCUCUGGAGCUGCGGGGACGUCCUCGGGGCUCUGCCCGGGAAGGAUGUGCUCCCUGGGGAGAGAGGGGCCGCGGUGCGAGUCAGGCGCUCCGAGACGGGGCCGUGUGUCCUCCCGGGUGCUCUGGUUGGCUGCACGCUGCCUGGGCCUGUCCGCAGGUUGUGCGUUUCUCUGCGUGGUGGUCUGCUAACCCGUGCGGGAGGGGCGUAGGCUUCCCCGCCCCCCACGUCUGCUCCCGCCAUGACCCCGGGGGUCUGGUGCAGCACUCCCAGCCCGCAUGCCUGGCGUGGCCACGGAGGCUGCGAGUGCAGAAGCCUCAUGGGACCCGGCGUGGAGUGCCCCACUGCCCCUGGUGGCCCAGUGUGCGCAGCGGACUUAGGCGCGGGCACGCUGGGCUCCGCGAGGGUGGUGCUCUGUGCCUCUGCCUCUCCUGAGACGUCCUUGCCUUCCUCUUGGCGUUGGCUGGUCUCCGAGCUCCCGGGACAGCGUCCAGGAGGCGUGGCCGCUGCCUGAGGACAAGUCCUCGAUGUGCCCUCUGACGCUGGCACGAGCGUGUUCUGGACCCGGGCCGUGCCCCCAGGCAGCUGGGGAGUUGUCUGCCUUGUAGUGCGGCGGGCCACCAGGAGAAUCUGACCCAGUGUCCUGGAUGGGCCAGUUCCCAGUCGUGCGCUCGUGGCCCAGACCAGACCCGGGCUGGUGUGUGGAGCCAGCCACGCGGGCCCGUCUGUCCUCCGUGCCCUGAGUGGGCGCAGAUGAGAGAGGGCGCGGUUGCUCCGUCCGCUUUUCUCCCCUCUCGCCCCCAUGCGGGGAGCCGUCCAGCGAGGCCUGGCUGGACUGAGCCCGUGCCGGACACGGUGCUCCGUUGCCGUCCUGGAGGGCCCAGAGGAUUGCUCGAGGUGUGCCCACCAGGCCCCUCCCCUGAG